rnacentral:rRNA from 1 species
UACGUAGGUGGCAAGCGUUGUCCGGAUUUACUGGGCGUAAAGAGCGCGCAGGCGGUCGUUCAAGUCGAGUGUGAAAGCCCCCCGGCUCAACUGGGGAGGGUCACUCGAUACUGAUCGACUCGAAGGCAGAAGAGGGAAGCGGAAUUCCCGGUGUAGUGGUGAAAUGCGUAGAGAUCGGAAAGAACACCAACGGCGAAAGCACUCUGCUGGGCCGACACUGACACUGAGAGACGAAAGCUAGGGGAGCGAAUGGG